GAAACUGCCAUUGAUACUAUAGGUCUUGAUCUUCCGGAGGUUAGCGGAAUAUGUCAUGUAGCGGUGAAAUGCUUAGAUAUGACAUAGAACACCAAUUGCGAAGGCAGCUAACUACAGGGGCAUUGACACUGAGGCACGAAAGCGUGGGGAUCAAACAGGAUUAGAUACCCUGGUAGUCCACGCCCUAAACGAUGGAUACUCGACAUUUGUGAUACACAAUAAGUGUCUGAGCGAAAGCAUUAAGUAUCCCACCUGGGAAGUACGACCCAAGGUUGAAACUCAAAGGAAUUGGCGGGGGUCCGCAAGCGGUGGAGCAUGUGUUUAAUUCGAUGAUACGCGAGGAACCUUACCUGGGCUAGAAUGCCGUGGACCGUGGUGAAACUCACUUUGUAGCAAUACACCGCUGGUAAGGUGCUGCAUGGCUG
rnacentral:rRNA from 1 species